GUAGGUGAACUGCGGAAGGAUCAUUACCGAGUGUAGGGUUCCUAGCGAGCCCAACCUCCCACCCGUGUUUACUGUACCUUAGUUGCUUCGGCGGGCCCGCCAUUCAUGGCCGCCGGGGGCUCUCAGCCCCGGGCCCGCGCCCGCCGGAGACACCACGAACUCUGUCUGAUCUAGUGAAGUCUGAGUUGAUUGUAUCGCAAUCAGUUAAAACUUUCAACAAUGGAUCUCUUGGUUCCGGCAUCGAUGAAGAACGCAGCGAAAUGCGAUAACUAGUGUGAAUUGCAGAAUUCCGUGAAUCAUCGAGUCUUUGAACGCACAUUGCGCCCCCUGGUAUUCCGGGGGGCAUGCCUGUCCGAGCGUCAUUGCUGCCCAUCAAGCACGGCUUGUGUGUUGGGUCGUCGUCCCCUCUCCGGGGGGGACGGGCCCCAAAGGCAGCGGCGGCACCGCGUCCGAUCCUCGAGCGUAUGGGGCUUUGUCACCCGCUCUGUAGGCCCGGCCGGCGCUUGCCGAACGCAAAUCAAUCUUUUUCCAGGUUGACCUCGGAUCAGUAGGAU
rnacentral:rRNA from 1 species